UUACACACACAUAUUGCUAUUGCUUUUUAUAUAUUAUAUAUACGUAUGUAUGUAAAAAUUUGUAGCAUUGUUGCAAGUUGAAGAAACGCAAGUACAAUUUCUUGAAUUGCGUUCAUCAUACAAAUGCAUAAAUUAAAACGUUUAAUCACUACAAAACAACGGCUGAAGUCUAAGAAUCGCAUAAUAAUGCCACCAUUGAAGACCUACUCGCCACACAACGAAUUCAAUGCAAAUUGUCACAAUGGCAAUAGCACAACAGGCGAAGGUGAAAGUAAUACAUCGGCCGCUGCCGCAACAGCAUCGUCAAACCUAAGUGAUAUUUGUGGUGCUGUAAGCAAUGCAGGUGCACAACAACGCGCCACACUGCCGUGUUACAGCAAUGCACAGUUUCCAUUCAAAGUACUAGCCAAUUUAAAUCAAUUACGUACCGAAUCGCGUUUUUGUGAUGUAGAAAUUGUUGCUGGCGGCAUAACAUUCAAUGCUCACCGUGCUGUCUUGAGCGCGGCCAGCGCCUACUUUGAGGCCAUGUUCCGCCCAGAACUAGGUUUGAAUGAGGUGAAUCAAAAGUCGGUUGUCUUACACACCAUAGAUGGCGAGAUCUUAAGCAUUCUACUGGAUUUCAUAUAUACUGGACGGUGUGAAAUAACACAGUCAAAUGUUCAAGAGCUAUUAGCUGCCGCUGAUAUGCUACAGUUGCCGGAAGUUGUAGACGGCUGCUGCGAUUUUCUAUGUCGCGAAUUACAUGCCACCAAUGCAUUGGGCAUUCUACGCUUUGCCGAAGCUCAUAAUUGUGAGACUUUAAAGAAAAGUGCGUUGAACUUUGUGCACUCCAAUUUCCCGGCGAUAACACUCGAAGAUGAAUUCCUAGACACACCACAAACCCUACUUGCUCAGCUACUAACUUCCGAGCAACUGCGUGUCGACUCCGAAUCUCAAGUUUUCCAAGCGGCACUGCGUUGGAUAAAACACGAUGUCACUCAACGUCGUUGCUACGUUUUCGACACGUUAUCACAUGUGCGCUUAGCACUUGUACCGGUUAAAGUAAUCGACCAGGCGUUGAAGGAUUGCCGCGAUAUGUCAGUAAAGAUUGCCUUACGUUCCAUUUGUCGCGACAUAGCUUCGAAGCGUGGGCAAUUGGUGCCACUACGCGUGUGCCCACGUCAGCAAGCCAAAAAGAACAUCUACAUUAUUGGUGGUUCGCGGCGUGAAUCACAGCGUGAUUGGACACCAUCCGAUUGUAUUUUUGAAACUGUGGCAAAAUUCGAUAUUUUCCGUCGCGAAUGGUCCGAAACGGCACCAAUGGAAAUUGGACGCAUACUGCCUGGUGUGGCGGCAUUAAAUGGCAAAAUAUAUGUAAUUGGUGGCGAGCGUGGUUCACAAAUUCUUGCUAAUGGUGAGGUAUAUGAUCCACAAACCGAUAUUUGGACACCGAUAGCACCGAUGAUCGUGCCGCGUUGUGAGUUUGGGUUGUGCACUUUCGGUGGCACACUGCUGGCGGUGGGCGGUUGGUUAGGUGACGAUAUAGGUGGUUCCAUUGAGUGCUAUGAUCCCGAAAAGAAUGCCUGGAACAAGCUGGGCGAUUUGCCAGAACCACGUUUCAGUAUGGGUGUGGUGAGUUUUGAAGGACUCAUCUACAUUGUGGGCGGCUGCACAACGUCCAGUCGUCAUUUGCCAGAUUUGAUUAGUUUCAAUCCAAUAACGCUCGAUUGGCAACCGAUGGCACGCAUGCGCACCGCACGUUGUCAAAUGGGCGUGGCUGUGCUGAAUCGUUACCUCUACGUUGUGGGCGGCAACAGUAGUUCGCAGGAUGUGUUGAGCACAGUUGAGCGUUACAGUUUCGACGAUAAUAAGUGGGAGAGUGUUUGCUCGAUGUCGGUACCACGCGCUAUACCCGCUGUAGCCGCUGCAGAUGGACUGCUCUAUGUGGCUGGCGGUGAUCAGCCCUGUGAGGAUAACUUCUAUCGCGCGCAUAUCACUAUCAACGCCGUGGAAGCGUAUGAUCCGCUGACUGAUACUUGGAAGAAUUGCCCCGACUUGCCUGUGGGACGCUCGGAGGCUGGUGCUGUCGUUGUUUAACGCCUAUUUUUCUAUAACAGCGUGACACUUUUGGGCAAUAACAACGUCUGCGUUUAUAUUGUUGUGCGUUUAGUGAAAAAGUUGAAGUGUUUUACAAAACGCAUGCGAUAAAUUUAAUAUACGAUAGCUAGGCACUAUUAUGCUCCAAGAAUGUUUAAAAAAGUUCUUUCAAGUAUUUAUUCACGCAAACCUUGCAACAUUUUCGAAAGCGGAGUAAAUAAAUAGGCUUCCAAUAGUAAUCGUUAACAAAACCUAAGUGAGAUAACUGCAUAUUUCAAAUAUAAUAAAUUAACUCGAAAUUCAACGUAUCAAAAAAUAAUAAACUAUUUAAAUAAGACUCUAUGUAGUUAAUUUGAAACGCUAUAAUAUUAACAAAAAAAAAUAAAUAAAAACAUAUAUCGGUGUAUUUUGCAUAACAGUACCAGAAGAAAUAUAUGUAAUUUGUAGCGCGUAUUUAAAAUACCGUUGAAACUGUCUCGUAUAAUAAUUUCAAAUUUGAAUUUAAUUUUGUGUAAAAUAAAAAGUGAAAAAGUGAUUGCGACACGUAAUUUAUAGUUGAACUAAUGUGUCCUUUUUGUUUUUGUAAUUAUCUUUUUUUUGCUACUUACACCGAGCUUUCAAAAACCCUUAAAAACUGUUAAAAAACCCAAUAUAAUAAUGUUAGUGUAUAUAAAACACAUAAAGUAAACAUUCAACAUUAUCACAUUGCUAAAACCAAAAAUUUUUAUUCAAAUUUAUGUUAAUAGCAAAAUAACGUAAAACGCUACUAUUGAUGUUGUUGUCAUGAACUAUGAACUCUAAAAACUGCGCU